AUAAAAGAAAUUAUGGAUAUACAAAUCAUUUGGAAAGAAAAAUCUAGACAAAUUUUGAAAGGAUAAAUGUAAAAGAAAAUUGCAUGAGAGAGAGGGCACAUGUCUCCUUUUAGCCUUCUGUUCUUGGGAGGGAAGCCAAAAUAGUUUCACUUCUGUAUUUUCUCAGCCACUGCUCUUAUUUGGGACCUGUCUUCAAAGAAGUAAAUCAUAAAUAGAUCUAUAUUUUGUGUCAAUUUCUGUAUUUCAUUCUCAUUUAAUUUAUUUUUGUAUAUAUUAUAUAUUGUGUUUUUUAAAGAAGAAAAAUAAUAGAUUUUAGAUUCCAGCUGUGAAUUUAACCCUUUCUCGAUCGAAAGUCUAUUUUGGCGUUUGUUCCGUGACCAUCCUCUCGCUACGUCACCGUUUUCAUAUCCAUGCAAAAUAUUUUGAAGAUAAUAUUUCUCUAUCCCCCCACUUUUCAUUGAUUAUCUACCCUUUAUAUAUACACAUUUCUAUGUUUUUUGGAUCGAAACAAUUUUAUUUUAAAUGAAUAAAGUAUAAAUGAAUAUCCAGUUAAAUCAUCGGGUCCAUUCCACGGACAAAAAAUUGUAUUAUUACUUUCACAUCAUACCCGAU